rnacentral:rRNA from 1 species
CGCGUGAGGAACCUGCCUCAAAGAGGGGGACAACAGUUGGAAACGGACUGCUAAUACCGCAUAAGCCCACAGCUCGGCAUCGAGCAGAGGGAAAAGGAGUGAUCCGCUUUGAGAUGGCCUCGCGUCCGAUUAGCUAGUUGGUGAGGUAAUGGCCCACCAAGGCGACGAUCGGUAGCCGGACUGAGAGGUUGAACAGCCACAUUGGGACUGAGACACGGCCCAG